UCCCGAAAGAGAGUCCUAUUUGGACUCCAGGAGGGGGCGGGCGCCCAGUGCCUGGCCCCGUUCGGCCUCCGCUUCCUUCCCGUGGCUUUUGGAGUCUUCUAGAUGUAAGAUAAUUGCGCGGCAUGUUAAUAUCUCUAUGUAAUCCCGACGUGUGGACCUUUCUUCCUUAUUUCCUGAUAACCCCCUGCAGAAAUAGAAAAACACCAAAACUCGUGGAAUUCUGUCACAUAAAACCCUAAGUCUAGAUGUUGAUUUCAUUU
rnacentral:lncRNA from 1 species